rnacentral:rRNA from 1 species
GUGCCGCUUAAAAUAAAGAUCUUCGUUUGGCAGUUGCUUCAAAACCGUUUGCCCUCGGGGACGAAGGUCCUUAAGCGCAACGGUCCGGGUGAUGGUGUUUGCCCCCUCUGUAGCAUCCCAGAGAUGAGCAUUCACAUCAUGUUCUCCUGUACGGCGGCACGGGCGCUGUGGAGGUUUGUUCGGGAGGCACUCGGGCCCGACUGA